rnacentral:rRNA from 1 species
UACGAAGGGGGCUAGCGUUGUUCGGAAUUACUGGGCGUAAAGCGCGUGUAGGCGGGUCUUUAAGUCAGGGGUGAAAUGCCAAGGCUCAACCUUGGAACUGCCUUUGAUACUGGAUGGCUUGAAUCCGGGAGAGGGAUGCGGAAUUCCAGGUGUAGCGGUGAAAUGCGUAGAUAUCUGGAGGAACACCGGUGGCGAAGGCGGCAUCCUGGACCGGCAUUGACGCUGAUGAGCGAAAGCCAGGGGAGCAAACGGGG